rnacentral:rRNA from 1 species
AACGAACGCUGGCGGCAGGCUUAACACAUGCAAGUCGAGCGCCCCGCAAGGGGAGCGGCAGACGGGUGAGUAACGCGUGGGAAUCUACCCAUCUCUACGGAACAACUCCGGGAAACUGGAGCUAAUACCGUAUACGUCCUAAGGGAGAAAGAUUUAUCGGAGAUGGAUGAGCCCGCGUUGGAUUAGCUAGUUGGUGGGGUAAUGGCCUACCAAGGCGACGAUCCAUAGCUGGUCUGAGAGGAUGAUCAGCCACACUGGGACUGAGACACGGCCCAGACUCCUACGGGAGCAGCAGUGGGGAAUAUUGGACAAUGGGCGCAAGCCUGAUCCAGCCAUGCCGCGUGAGUGAUGAAGGCCCUAGGGUUGUAAAGCUCUUUCAACGGUGAAGAUAAUGACGGUAACCGUAGAAGAAGCCCCGGCUAACUUCGUGCCAGCAGCCGCGGU